rnacentral:rRNA from 1 species
AUUGAACGCUGGCGGCAGGCCUAACACAUGCAAGUCGAACGAGUGGCGGACGUGUGAGUAAUGUCUGUGCCACUGCCCGAUGGAGGGGGAUAACUACUGUAAACGUUCUCUAAUACCGCAUACCAUCCGAUGUGCCCAGAUGGGAGUAGCUAGUAGGUGGGGUAACGGCUCACCUAGACGACGAUCCCUAGCUGGUCUGAGAGGAUGACGAGGCAAACUGGAAAUGAGAAACGGUCAAGAGUAGUACGGGAGGCGGCAGUGGGGAAGAUUGAACAAUGGGCGAAAGUCUGAUGCAGCGCUGCCGCGCGUGUGAAGAAGGACAUCGGGUUGCAAAGCACUUUCAGUGGGGAGGCGUUAGAUGUAGAAGAAGACCCGGCUAACUCCGUGCCAGCAGCCGCGGUAAUAC